AUCGGGGCGGGGGGGGGCCCUCAGCCCGAAUUGCGAGAGGGUGUAGGCCAGGCUAAGGGACCCCACCGAGCACGGA
rnacentral:pre_miRNA from 1 species